UACUUCAGUGACAUGACAUCUGAGAAUGGAACUGGCGUCACAGUCAUCAGACACGACUCGGAGGAGCAGGAAGAAGUCGUGGGCUACGAAGGAGCUGGCGAAUAUGUUCUGAGACUUAACUACAACGUCUCCCUCGACCACGCCAUCGCCAUCAUCGAUGCCAGUGAGAACUGCCGACAGUUUGUACAAUGGAAGUGCAAGGCCGCCUUGAUUCACAACCCCAAUGCCAAUGGUGUCAUCACUACCGGGUGGCGCAACAGGACUGGCGGAAUUGCAGACUACUUUGGUGAUGCCACUCCCGGAAGUGGUAUGUGUACCUGUGGCAUGACUGGGUCAUGUGCAGACCCGACAAGGCAUGCAACUGCGACAAGAACGACGAAGUCUGGAGGGAAGACUCCGGCUACCUGUCCUACAAGCCGGACCUGCCUGUCACUGAGUUCCUGGCGGGGGACACAGGUGGAAUGAUGGAGGGAGGAUAUAAAACAAUCGGACCUUUGUUCUGUUGGGGCGUACUUACCUAGACACCGGCUGUCAGUUUCCCAGCCAAUCAGCGAUCAGAAGACUCAGAAAACAUCACGUGACAUAACCUCGGACCGCUCAUAAUCUAGGCUACAAUAACAAAACACAUGAUCACAAUCACUUCUAGGCGGCGAUGACGAGGCCGGAUACGCAACAGUUGGCAGAAUUCUUUGCACAGGCGUUGCAACCUGACAUGCGCAGGUGACGACGGAACCGAGGCGGGCGCCUUUAAGGUCGGCCCUGUGGAAUGCUACGGGACUUCCUCCGCGGAUGUCAGCGAUACCUAAUCGACCAUUCUUGAUCUGUUUCUCUCUUUCUUCGCAGCUGAUGCUCUUUGCUACAUUUGAGUUAAAACUGUUUUCUUAACUAGGUCUUAUUUUGUUCCCUUUACGUGCUAUUAAUUUGGAAUGGAGACUGUCCAGUUGAUAGGGAGCUUAUGGUGUAAGAUAUGGAGUCUGCUUCUUGCAGAGCGGAAAGGAUUGCAGUUUGCAAGACGAGAGAUUCCAUAUGUUGUUGAAACAUGUUGACUGUUGAUGUUAUUUUUGUUACUGUAAACUUUGUCUAUCUAAAUAUAUCGAUGUUGCAAAGU
rnacentral:misc_RNA from 1 species